AAGUGAAGGUGGAAGCGGCCGCGGCGGCAGCAGGCCACCAUGGCGGAGCUGCAGGAGGUGCAGAUCACAGAGGAGAAGCCACUGUUGCCAGGACAGACGCCUGAGGCGGCCAAGACUCACUCUGUGGAGACACCAUAUGGCUCUGUCACUUUCACUGUCUAUGGCACCCCCAAACCCAAACGCCCAGCGAUCCUUACCUACCACGAUGUGGGACUCAACUAUAAAUCUUGCUUCCAGCCACUGUUUCAGUUUGAGGACAUGCAGGAAAUCAUUCAGAACUUCGUGCGGGUUCAUGUGGAUGCCCCUGGAAUGGAAGAGGGAGCCCCUGUGUUCCCUUUGGGAUAUCAGUACCCAUCUCUGGACCAGCUUGCAGACAUGAUCCCUUGCGUCCUGCAGUACCUAAAUUUCUCUACAAUAAUUGGAGUUGGUGUUGGAGCUGGAGCCUACAUCCUGGCGAGAUAUGCUCUUAACCACCCGGACACUGUUGAAGGUCUUGUCCUCAUCAACAUCGAUCCCAAUGCCAAGGGUUGGAUGGAUUGGGCAGCCCACAAGGUUUGGAGGGGCGUGUGUGCUGAGACCUAGG
rnacentral:sRNA from 1 species